rnacentral:rRNA from 1 species
AACGAACGCUGGCGGCAUGCCUAACACAUGCAAGUCGAACGAGACCUUCGGGUCUAGUGGCGCACGGGUGCGUAACGCGUGGGAACCUGCCCUUAGGUUCGGAAUAACUCCCCGAAAGGGGUGCUAAUACCGGAUAAUGUCUUCGGACCAAAGAUUUAUCGCCUUUGGUUGGGCCCGCGUUGGAUUAGCUAGUUGGUAGGGUAAAAGCCUACCAAGGCGACGAUCCAUAGCUGGUCUGAGAGGAUGAUCAGCCACACUGGGACUGAGACACGGCCCAGACUCCUACGGGAGGCAGCAGUGGGGAAUAUUGGACAAUGGGCGAAAGCCUGAUCCAGCAAGGCCGCGUGAGUGAUGAAGGCCUUAGGGUUGUAAAGCUCUUUUACCCGGGAUGAUAAUGACGGUACCGGGAGAAUAAGCUCCGGCUAACUCCGUG